UUUGGAAGUUGCUGGCUCAACCCGAAUCAGCUCUUCUUAAAUACAUUAGCAAAGACAUUUGCUGACCAUCUUUGGUAUGAUAAUUAUCUAUAUCAUUGAUAACCAGCUCCCUUCACGGGGAGGUCUUGCUUCUAGCAGUCUUUAUAAGACAAUUUGACAACUUUGACCUCAAAUCAGGUAGGACUACCCGCUGAACUUAA
rnacentral:misc_RNA from 1 species